rnacentral:rRNA from 1 species
GGAAUAUUGGACAAUGGGGGCAACCCUGAUCCAGCCAUGCCGCGUGCGUGAAGAAGGCCUUAGGGUUGUAAAGCGCUUUCACUGGUGAAGAUGAUGACGGUAGCCAGAGAAGAAGCCCCGGCUAACUCCGUGCCAGCAGCCGCGGUAAUACGGGGGGAGCAAGCGUUGUUCGGAUUUACUGGGCGUAAAGGGCGCGUAGGCGGCCUCUGCAAGUCGACUGUGAAAUCUCCGGGCUUAACCCGGAACGGUCAGCCGAUACUGCAGGGCUAGAGUGCAGAAGGGGCAACUGGAAUUCUCGGUGUAGCGGUGAAAUGCGUAGAUAUCGAGAGGAACACCUGCGGCGAAGGCGGGUUGCUGGGCUGACACUGACGCUGAGGCGCGAAAGCUAGGGGAGCGAAC